UGGGGAAUCUUGCGCAAUGGGCGAAAGCCUGACGCAGCGACGCCGCGUGAGUGAUGAAGGCCUUCGGGUUGUAAAGCUCUUUCGGCAGGAACGAAACGGCGAGCUCUAACAUAGCUUGCUAAUGACGGUACCUGAAGAAGAAGCACCGGCUAACUACGUGCCAGCAGCCGCGGUAAUACGUAGGGUGCGAGCGUUAAUCGGAAUUACUGGGCGUAAAGCGUGCGCAGGCGGUCUUGUAAGACAGUUGUGAAAGCCCCGUGCUUAACCUGGGAACUGCAAUUGGGACUGCAAGGCUAGAGUGUGUCAGAGGGGGGUGGAAUUCCACGUGUAGCAGUGAAAUGCGUAGAGAUGUGGAGGAACACCGAUGGCGAAGGCAGCCCCCUGGGAUAACACUGACACUCAUGCACGAAAGCGUGGGGAGCAAACA
rnacentral:rRNA from 1 species